rnacentral:rRNA from 1 species
UGCAAGUCGAACGCACUGACGUCGACCGAAGCUGCUUGCAGUGGACGUUGAUUGACGUGAGUGGCGGACGGGUGAGUAACACGUGGGUAACCUACCCUUAAGUGGGGGAUAACAUUUGGAAACAGAUGCUAAUACCGCAUAACCAUUCAGACCACAUGGUCUGAAUGUAAAAGACGGCCUUUGGCUGUCACUUUUGGACGGACCCGCGGCGUAUUAGUUAGUUGGUAAGGUAACGGCUUACCAAGACAAUGAUACGUAGCCGACCUGAGAGGGUAAUCGGCCACAUUGGGACUGAGACACGGCCCAAACUCCUACGGGAGGCAGCAGUAGGGAAUCUUCCACAAUGGACGAAAGUCUGAUGGAGCAACGCCGCGUGAGUGAAGAAGGUUUUAGGAUCGUAAAACUCUGUUGUUGGAGAAGAACAGGGACUAGAGUAACUGUUAGUCCUUUGACGGUAUCCAACCAGAAAGCCACGGCUAACUACGUGCCAGCAGCCGCGGUAAUACGUAGGUGGCAAGCGUUGUCCGGAUUUAUUGGGCGUAAAGCGAGCGCAGGCGGUUUUUUAAGUCUGAUGUGAAAGCCUUCGGCUUAACCGAAGAAGUGCAUUAGAAACUGGGAAACUUGAGUGCAGAAGAGGACAGUGGAACUCCAUGUGUAGCGGUGAAAUGCGUAGAUAUAUGGAAGAACACCAGUGGCGAAGGC